rnacentral:rRNA from 1 species
GACGAACGCUGGCGGCGUGCUUAACACAUGCAAGUCGUACGGUAAGGCCCUUUCGGGGGUACACGAGUGGCGAACGGGUGAGUAACACGUGAGUAACCUGCCCACAACUUUGGGAUAACGCUAGGAAACUGGUGCUAAUACUGGAUAUGUGCUCCUGCUGCAUGGUGGGGGUUGGAAAGCUCCGGCGGUUGUGGAUGGACUCGCGGCCUAUCAGCUUGUUGGUGGGGUAGUGGCCUACCAAGGCGGCGACGGGUAGCCGGCCUGAGAGGGUGACCGGCCACAUUGGGACUGAGAUACGGCCCAGACUCCUACGGGAGGCAGCAGUGGGGAAUAUUGCACAAUGGGCGCAAGCCUGAUGCAGCAACGCCGCGGGCGGGAUGACGGCCUUCGGGUUGUAACCCGCUUUCAGCAGGGACGAAGCUUUUUGUGACGGUACCUGCAGAAGAAGCACCGGCUAACUACGUG